GACGAACGCUGGCGGCGUGCCUAAUACAUGCAAGUCGAACGCUGAAGGAGGAGCUUGCUUCUCCGGAUGAGUUGCGAACGGGUGAGUAACGCGUAGGUAACCUGCCUGGUAGCGGGGGAUAACUAUUGGAAACGAUAGCUAAUACCGCAUAACAGUAGAUAUUGCAUGAUAUCUGCUUGAAAGGUGCAAUUGCAUCACUACCAGAUGGACCUGCGUUGUAUUAGCUAGUUGGUGAGGUAACGGCUCACCAAGGCGACGAUACAUAGCCGACCUGAGAGGGUGGUCGGCCACACUGGGACUGAGACACGGCCCAGACUCCUACGGGAGGCAGCAGUAGGGAAUCUUCGGCAAUGGACGGAAGUCUGACCGAGCAACGCCGCGUGAGUGAAGAAGGUUUUCGGAUCGUAAAGCUCUGUUGUAAGAGAAGAACGAGUGUGAGAGUGGAAAGUUCACACUGUGACGGUAUCUUACCAGAAAGGGACGGCUAACUACGUG
rnacentral:rRNA from 1 species